rnacentral:lncRNA from 1 species
CCUUGAACUCUUAUACUAUGAUGAAGUCCCUAGAACUAUGCUAGUGUACGAUAAAGAGAGGAUUUAUCGUAUAGUUCUUAAACAAGUUCGUGACCAAAUGAUACGUCAUUACGGGACGAUGACGUUUAUCAAGUGAAGGUCGUUAUAUGCCAUAUGGCUUGGUUGUCCUCUUAACCAAGGAGUGUGGUGACAUUGAUAUGGCAUACAGGUAAGAUAUAAAGGUACAUCAUCACUGAACAAGUGACUCACCUGCUGAGCAUUCUGCUGUUAAGAGCUACUCGCGAAACACAU